rnacentral:lncRNA from 1 species
AGCGGGCAAUCUAGUAUGAUGUUUAUGUUGAAUAUAAAAAUAUAUAAACAAUAUUCUCUAAAAGUUUAAACUAAUAUGGUAUCAAAAUAAGAGGUUUUGAGUUGUUCUAUUUUUACUUAAAUAAGAGGAAUUUUUGAACUCCAUGUUUUGGGGCAAUCAAAGUUUGGGGUCCCGAAGUAUAUGAACACCGUGUAGGGAUGCAAAUGGAUCCAGGUUGGUGCAGUUUCUGUCCCAAUCCGUCCUGAAUGGGGCGACGAGUGGAA